UGAAAUCCCCCCGGACAGUGGAUGCCGUCCCCUGUCCAUCGGGAUCUACCUCCCCGGCGGGGCAGUAUUUUCCGAUUCGCCUGCGACGCGUGGUG
rnacentral:lncRNA from 1 species